GAGUUUGAUCAUGGCUCAGGACGAACGCUGGCGGCGUGCUUAACACAUGCAAGUCGAGCGGAAAGGCCCCUUCGGGGGUACUCGAGCGGCGAACGGGUGAGUAACACGUGAGCAACCUGCCCCUGACUCUGGGAUAAGCCCGGGAAACUGGGUCUAAUACCGGAUAUGACCACUCCAGGCAUCUGGUGGUGGUGGAAAGUUUUUCGGUUGGGGAUGGGCUCGCGGCCUAUCAGCUUGUUGGUGGGGUGAUGGCCUACCAAGGCGACGACGGGUAACCGGCCUGAGAGGGCGACCGGUCACACUGGGACUGAGACACGGCCCAGACUCCUACGGGAGGCAGCAGUGGGGAAUAUUGCGCAAUGGGCGGAAGCCUGACGCGGCGACGCCGCGUGGGGGAUGACGGCCUUCGGGUUGUAAACCCCUUUCAGCAGGGACGAAGCUAACGUGACGGUACCUGCAGAAGAAGCGCCGGCUAACUACGUGCCAGCAGCCGCGGUAAUACGUAGGGCGCAAGCGUUGUCCGGAAUUAUUGGGCGUAAAGAGCUCGUAGGCGGUUUGUCGCGUCUGUCGUGAAAGCCCACGGCUUAACCGUGGGUCUGCGGUGGAUACGGGCAGACUAGAGGCAGGUAGGGGAGAAUGGAAUUCCCGGUGUAGCGGUGAAAUGCGCAGAUAUCGGGAGGAACACCGGUGGCGAAGGCGGUUCUCUGGGCCUGUACUGACGCUGAGGAGCGAAAGCGUGGGGAGCGAACAGGAUUAGAUACCCUGGUAGUCCACGCCGUAAACGUUGGGCGCUAGGUGUGGGGUUCUUCCACGGAUUCCGCGCCGUAGCUAACGCAUUAAGCGCCCCGCCUGGGGAGUACGGCCGCAAGGCUAAAACUCAAAUGAAUUGACGG
rnacentral:rRNA from 1 species